UGGGGAAUUUUGGACAAUGGGCGAAAGCCUGAUCCAGCAAUGCCGCGUGUGUGAAGAAGGCCUUCGGGUUGUAAAGCACUUUUGUCCGGAAAGAAAUCCUUGGCUCUAAUACAGUCGGGGGAUGACGGUACCGGAAGAAUAAGCACCGGCUAACUACGUGCCAGCAGCCGCGGUAAUACGUAGGGUGCAAGCGUUAAUCGGAAUUACUGGGCGUAAAGCGUGCGCAGGCGGUUUGCUAAGACCGAUGUGAAAUCCCCGGGCUCAACCUGGGAACUGCAUUGGUGACUGGCAGGCUAGAGUAUGGCAGAGGGGGGUAGAAUUCCACGUGUAGCAGUGAAAUGCGUAGAGAUGUGGAGGAAUACCGAUGGCGAAGGCAGCCCCCUGGGCCAAUACUGACGCUCAUGCACGAAAGCGUGGGGAGCAAACAGGAUUAGAUACCCUGGUAGUCCACGCCCUAAACGAUGUCAACUAGUUGUUGGGGAUUCAUUUCCUUAGUAACGUAGCUAACGCGUGAAGUUGACCGCCUGGGGAGUACGGUCGCAAGAUUAAAGCUCAAAGGAAUUGACGGGGUCAUAGCUGUUUCCU
rnacentral:rRNA from 1 species